AUUGAACGCUGGCGGCAUGCUUUACACAUGCCAGUCGAACGGCAGCGCGGGCUUCGGCCUGGCGGCGAGUGGCGAACGGGUGAGUAAUACAUCGGAACGUGCCCAGUAGUGGGGGAUAGCUCGGCGAAAGCCGGAUUAAUACCGCAUACGACCUGAGGGUGAAAGCGGGGGAUCUUCGGACCUCGCGCUAUUGGAGCGGCCGAUGGCAGAUUAGCUAGUUGGUGGGGUAAAGGCCUACCAAGGCGACGAUCUGUAGCUGGUCUGAGAGGACGACCAGCCACACUGGGACUGAGACACGGCCCAGACUCCUACGGGAGGCAGCAGUGGGGAAUUUUGGACAAUGGGCGAAAGCCUGAUCCAGCAAUGCCGCGUGUGUGACGAGGGCCUUCGGGUUGUAAAGCACUUUUGGCGGGAACGAAAAGGACUGUGCCAAUACCACGGUUCGAUGACGGUACCCGCAGAAUAAGCACCGGCUAACUACGUG
rnacentral:rRNA from 1 species